GAUGAACGCUGGCGGCGUGCCUAAUACAUGCAAGUCGAGCGAACAGAUGAGGAGCUUGCUCCUCUGACGUUAGCGGCGGACGGGUGAGUAACACGUGGAUAACCUACCUAUAAGACUGGGAUAACUUCGGGAAACCGGUGCUAAUACCGGAUAAUAUAUUGAACCGCAUGGUUCAAUAGUGAAAGACGGUUUUGCUGUCACUUAUAGAUGGAUCCGCGCCGCAUUAGCUAGUUGGUAAGGUAACGGCUUACCAAGGCAACGAUGCGUAGCCGACCUGAGAGGGCGAUCGGCCACACUGGAACUGAGACACGGUCCAGACUCCUACGGGAGGCAGCAGUAGGGAAUCUUCCGCAAUGGGCGAAAGCCUGACGGAGCAACGCCGCGUGAGUGAUGAAGGUCUUCGGAUCGUAAAACUCUGUUAUUAGGGAAGAACAAAUGUGUAAGUAACUAUGCACGUCUUGACGGUACCUAAUCAGAAAGCCACGGCUAACUACGUG
rnacentral:rRNA from 1 species